GCCAGAUGCAGUGGUGCACACCUGUAAUCCCAGCAACUUGGGAGGCUGAGGCAAGAGGAUUGCAAAUUUGAGGCCAGCCUCAGCAACAUAGUGAGACACUGUCUCAA
rnacentral:sRNA from 1 species